GACGAACGCUGGCGGCAGGCUUAACACAUGCAAGUCGAACGGGUGUAGCAAUACAUCAGUGGCAGACGGGCGAGUAACACGUGGGAACCUUCCUAGGGGUACGGAACAACUCAGGGAAACUUGAGCUAAUACCGUAUACGUCCGUAAGGAGAAAGAUUCAUCGCCCCUAGACGGGCCCGCGUCGGAUUAGGUAGUUGGUGGGGUAACGGCCUACCAAGCCUACGAUCCGUAGCUGAUCUGAGAGGAUGAUCAGCCACACUGGGACUGAGACACGGCCCAGACUCCUACGGGAGGCAGCAGUGGGGAAUCUUGGACAAUGGGCGCAAGCCUGAUCCAGCCAUGCCGCGUGAGUGAAGAAGGCCUUAAGGGUUGUAAAGCUCUUUUACCAGGGACGAUAAUGACGGUACCUGGAGAAUAAG
rnacentral:rRNA from 1 species